GUAUUUUGCCUUCCUUUUGAGAUAUAUAUAUAUAUAAAGAGAGUUGAGCUAGAAUACUAUCGAUAGCAAACGAGUUUUGUUGUCACUAUAUAGAAUUAGACUGGAAUACUAUUGAUAGCAAAACGCUCUUUUUGCUAUCAAGUUUUUAACCCUUGGAUAAAAAAUUGUAGGGUUAGGAUGAUAUUAGUCAGUUAAAGUUGAGUGGUCCCCGUCGGGUUGAUUGGUCCCCACUGGUUUACUACGACCCGUUUGCUAUCGAUAGUAUUCUAGCUCAACUAUA
rnacentral:lncRNA from 1 species